AUCUCUAUAAAUGGUGAGUCCUUCACCUAGAUUGUUCAUAUCUCCAUUGCUCAGCAGAUAUGGCACCGGUGACCGGCUCUCUCAUUCUUCUCAUUCUGUGCUGUGCAGGAGCAUUAGCAGACAACCAUGACAAACCACCACCACCAUCAGAGAAACCAGGAAGAUGCCCACCAUCUCCACAAAUAUUUUGUAAUCCAACUCUUCCGGAUCGGUGCGCCUCAGACAAACAAUGUACAGGAAACCAGAAGUGCUGCAGGCAGGGAUGCAAUAAAAAAUGCAGGGUUCCCAUCAUUGAGAAGCCCGGGACAUGCCCACCACCCUCGACAAUGUGCUUACCUGUGUCACCCAAUGCGUUACCUCCAAGAUGUAAAGUGGACAGUGAUUGUACAGGAAAACUGAAAUGCUGCAUCAAAACUUGUAGCCCAGAGUGCAUCAAAGUGUAAUAAGUGAUGUGCGGCCGGCUGGAUGCAUCUCCGUCCCUCACAGCGGAGGACACAUCGCUCAUCAGCCUCAGUAAUUCUCUCUUCUCGCGGCUUUUCCUUCUCUAGUUGCAGAUAAUCCUGGAGGUGACAGCGGUGAAGACACUCAGGGCCGGAUCCGCUGCCCCAGGUGCUAAGUCUGAAUACACCCCCAUUAAAGGCAGAUUUCUCCUCCUUCUCAGCGAUCAUAGUGACAUUUAUCAAUGUAAUAAAGCAGAAGAUGAAAAAUGA